AUUGAACGCUGGCGGCGGGCUUAACACAUGCAAGUCGAGCGAGCGGCGGACGGGUGAGUAAUGCAUGGGAAACUGCCUGAUGGAGGGGGAUAACUACUGGAAACGGUAGCUAAUACCGCAAACCAUCAGAUGUGCCCAGAUGGGAGUAGCUAGUAGGUGGGGUAAUGGCUCACCUAGGCGACGAUCGCUAGCUGGUCUGAGAGGAUGACCAGCCACACUGGAACUGAGACACUGUCCAGACGCCUACGGGAGGCAGAAGUGGGGAAUAUUGCACAAUGGGGGCAAUCCUGAUGAAGCCAUGCCGCGUGUGUGAAGAUGGCCUUCGGGUUGUAAAGCACUUUCAGCGAGGAGGCGUUACUCGCAGAAGAAGCACCGGCUAACUCCGUGCCAGCAGCCGCGGUAAUUC
rnacentral:rRNA from 1 species